CCUACGGGAGGCAGCAGUAGGGAAUCUUCGGCAAUGGGGGCAACCCUGACCGAGCAACGCCGCGUGAGUGAAGAAGGUUUUCGGAUCGUAAAGCUCUGUUGUAAGUCAAGAACGGGUGUGAGAGUGGAAAGUUCACACUGUGACGGUAGCU
rnacentral:rRNA from 1 species